rnacentral:rRNA from 1 species
AGGGGGUGCAAGCGUUGUUCGGAAUUAUUGGGCGUAAAGCGCGUGUAGGCGGACCGUUAAGUCCGGUGUGAAAUCCCUCGGCUUAACUGAGGACGUGCAUUGGAUACUGACGGUCUUGAGUCCUGGAGAGGGUAGCGGAAUUCCCAGUGUAGAGGUGAAAUUCGUAGAUAUUGGGAGGAACACCGGUGGCGAAGGCGGCUACCUGGACAGUGACUGACGCUGAGACGCGAAAGCAUGGGUAGCAAACAGGAUUAGAUACCCUGGUAGUCCAUGCCGUAAACGANGGGUGNUAGUUGGUGCGGGUAUUGACCCCUGCGCUGACGAAGCUAACGCGUUAAGCACCCCGCCUGGGGAGUACGGCCGCAAGGCUA